GCAACUACCAUGCAGUGUUCCAGUACAUGGAAACUACGGGUGCUCUUGAUUCUGACAAUGAGAUCCACCUGCUGUGCCUGCACUACGUAAUGAUUCCAAGAAUCAACGCCCACCUAAAUGUCUUCAGAAGAACUUGGGACAGACACCGCAUUUCCUCUGCUGGAAACCGCUCCCCUGACCAGCUGUGGAUCUCCGGGCAAUUGACAAGUGAAGUGGAACCAACUCAACCAGUCAGCCUCAGUGAAUGGGGCAAUGACUUUGAGGGAUCUUUACCAGCCUCUGAUUCCACUGCUGACAUUGUCGUGCCAGAGCAUCCAGACUCACUAAUACAAAAUGUCAACAGAUUGUUGGACAGAAUAGACCCGUUAACAGCCAGCUCAUGUUUUGGAGCAGACUUGUACAUGGAAGCACUGCGACUGGCUGAACUUUAAUUCUCUUCUUGGUGUUCAAAGUAGUUGCUGUUUUUAGCAUCAAAGUAACUUGCUCUAAAAGUGUAUAAUCAAACUGUAAAUGCCUGAUUAUGUGCUUCACUUGAAAAAAAAAUGUCUGUCAUGAGCAGGACUUAUGAUAAUGUGUCAACAUAAAAUUAACAUGUAUUGAUGGCUAAGACACAGAUGGGCUGAUGACACGUGUGUUCCUUCUUUAUUUGUGUUAGUAUUGUUUAUUUUGGGGGGGGGGGUGUUAUUGAGACAUGAAUACUUGUAGCACUAUAUGAAUGUCGUUCCUAUACCUUUUUUGAACGAACAACCAGCUUAUUAAACAAACUGCACCAAAAUGCAAAAAUGACUACACAUGUCUACAACACUGUUAAACACUAAUUUUUAUCAGUAAAAUAUGUGACUUUGUUGUGAUGUUGAUGAAUUUCUUUAACCCUCCCACUGUCUAUGGGUGACCCCGUGAGGAAAGUUGACCAUUGAGCAGGGUUGAUGGUUUAUCCCUUGAGGUCCACGUGGCAGGGGUGAGGUGGUGUUCACUCCUCACCCCUGCCACGUGGACCCAAGGGAUAAACCAUCAACCCUGCUCAAUGGUCAGCUUUCCUUGUGGGGUCACACCCAUUAGAACAGUGGGAGGGUUAAUCUACAAAAACUCUUAUUGAAGAAGUGCUACAGUUUUAUUGAGCUUUAAAUUUUAAUACAUAAGCAGGUGGUGACUUAAAUAGGAUACAGGUUGCUGACUAAUUAAAUAAAGUUCUUUUUCCACUUUUAAAAUUCAGGUCAAACUCCAGCUGUUUGUUGUAGUAAAGUUUGACUUACUGUGUGUGGUAUAAAGUAUAAAUUCAGCCAUACUCUAUUUUUCUUUUGACAAGAUCAUCUGAGGAGAAAACUUCACAUCCCAUAACCUUCAGCAGAGACAACAGUAAGUUUAGUGCAACAAAACUAUUGUUCCCCUAAGGGAAAUUAUUAUCAGACACAUUUUACAUAUAUAGUUUUAAUAAAGAUAACAUCACAAUUUUAAUAAUUACUAACCUGUAAUUCAAUACAAAGGAUUUAAAAUUCAGAGAUGAAAAGUACAUAUUAGUUAGCUCUGGCUUUUUCUCUGAUAUGUGCAAAAAAACCAAACUAUUUAAAAAGAAAACGCCAUCAACAUGUAAUUAAUAGAAUGGAGUUUACGCAGCACCUGAUCAAUGCUAACAGGCUGUCAGCUUUACAAUAUGAUCAAUCAAACUUUAUUUCAGACAAGGGAUAUGUCCAUAACAAGAAUAAAAAAAAAUAAAUAUGCUUAAAGUUAAUCUGUAUAACAGUGUGUUCUGUCAAAGAAGCAACUGUGAUUGCUGGUCUCACCGUAUGUCAUACGUUUAAUAAAAGUUAAAACAAAAAAAAACCCCGCAUCUAAUAAAGUGACUCUCCGAGACAUGCUAAUGGCUAGCCUCUCCGAUGCUAACGCCAGCCUAUCCAUGCUAAUGGUCCGUCGAGGAGGUAGGAAAUCCAGCUAGUGGCCAGCCUAGGCACGCUUAUGGCUAGCCUCUCCGAUGCUAACGCCAGCCUAUCCAUGCUAAUGGUCCGUCGAGGAGGUAGGAAAUCCAGCUAGUGGCCAGCCUAGGCACGCUUAUGGCUAGCCUCUCCGAU